rnacentral:lncRNA from 1 species
AUACGAUUUGCGAGAUUGAGUUUAGAAAAUCUUUGACCAAAGCAAGUGUGAAUACUAGAAAAGAGUUUUCACGAAAUUCAUAAAUAAACUUGAGUCUAGUCAAUCUUACAUAUGACUAACAAUAGGAUCUGACGAGUUCUCCAUGAUCUUUGUCAAGUCGAGACUCAUGAUAGAAGGACUGAAUCAUAUGAUAACUAUACCUAAAGAUUCAUACUUUCAUUCUACUGGGUUGUUACUACAUACUGCUAGAUGUCACUGAUGGAUUGUGAGACUCAUCGGGUGUCGUCUUG